GAUUAACGCUGGCGGCAUGCCUAAUACAUGCAAAUCGAACGGAGUUAUUCUUCGGAAUAACUUAGUGGUGAACGGGUGAGUAACACGUAUCCAAUCUACCUUCAGGUUGGGGAUAACUAAUCGAAAGAUUAGCUAAUACCGAAUAAGCUCUUGGUCUCGCAUGAGACAAAGAGGAAAGGUCCUCCAAAGGAUCGCCUUUAGAUGAGGGUGCGGCAUAUCAGAUAGUUGGUAAGGUAACGGCUUACCAAGUCGAUGACGUGUAGUUGUACUGAGAGGUAAAACAACCACAAUGGGACUGAGACACGGCCCAUACUCCUACGGGAGGCAGCAGUAGGGAAUUUUUCACAAUGGGCGAAAGCCUGAUGGAGCAAUGCCGCGUGAACGAUGAAGGUCCUCUGGAUCGUAAAGUUCUUUUAUAUGGGAAGAAUAAUAAGGAAAGGAAAUGUUCUUUAUUUGACUGUACCAUUUUGAAUAAGUAUCGGCUAACUAUGUGCCAGCAGCCGCGGUAAUACAUAGGAUGCAAGCGUUAUCCGGAUUUACUGGGCGUAAAGCAAGCGCAGGCGGGCUUACAAGUUUGGUAUGAAAGACAUUUGCUUAACGAGUGUUUGUAUCAAAAACUGUAAGUCUAGAGUAUGCUAGGGAGUUCUGGAAUUCCAUGUGGAGCGGUGGAAUGCGUAGAUAUAUGGAAGAACACCAGUGGCGAAGGCGAGAACUUAGAGCAUUACUGACGCUUAGGCUUGAAAGUGUGGGGAGCAAAUAGG
rnacentral:rRNA from 1 species